GUCCCAUGGCAUGAAAUCUUCACUUAAUAAGGUUUUUAGACCUUAAAAUGAGUUCCUGUGGCCUCCUUAAGUCACCCCAGGGGUUAACAUUUUCAUAAGGUGUUUACUGAGCUGUCCUGCAUUCGGUCAAGAUUUGAAAAAAGGCGCGUCCAGGUGGCGCGCUGAUUGGGCCUUCCCUUCUCUACGUAGCAGAGGGAAAAAUGAUCAACGCCCUGUUUCUGGGAUCCACCAAUAGAGCUAGACACUGUUUCCACCCACUAUGGAUUGCCCGCCCAUCACAUCAGCAGAGAAGAGCAAGUUCAACAGACAAGAAAAAUGGCGGCGCCUAAGCAACUGAAACAUGGAGGAUGUGAUAAUAUGGGGAAAAGCCUGUUUUCACUGCAUAUGGGAGAGCCCCUGAAGACACAGUGGCUUGGUUUUAUUUACCCAAAUAAUUUGCCAACGAAACUACCGAAGGCGUUGUUUGUGGGAAGCAUUUUCGGGACGAGUGUUUCCACAAUUUGGGACAGUACAGGGCCAGGUUCGCACAGCAUGACAUGGAUCCGUACCAGGUCUCCCUGCGGGAUCCGCAAGCUCCGAACAAGCCACCACAAUAAGUGUACACGUUCAGACAUAUGGUUCAUGGAUGCUGCCUUCCAGACAGACUGCAUUGCCACCUGGACUACAGCCACACCAGUUAUCCUUGAAGACAUUGCUGCCCCAGCCAUGGAGUAAAUAUGGCUCUCCUCUACAAUGAAAAUUCAAACGAACAACCGGCCCUAUGACUACCUGCAGGAGGUGUACCUUUCUUCAAAAUUGCCAAGACCAAGAAGGGAUAGUGCAUCAACCAUCAAAAGAUUAAGCCAACCUUUUGGUUAUGUUCAUGUUCGUGGAACUCAUUCUGGACAAGGUCUUUGGGAACCCUGCAAAGCAGACUGAGGCAAUGUUGGCGUUGGUGCAGUUCACAGACGA